CAGCCGCCGCGGUAAUACGUAGGGUGCGAGCGUUCCUCGGAUUUACUGGGCGUAAAGCGUGCGCAGGCGGCCCGUUAAGACAGGUGUGAAAUCCCUGGGCUCAACCUAGGAAUUGCGCUUGUGACUGGCGGGCUCGAGUACGGUAGAGGGGGGUGGAAUUCCUGGUGUAGCAGUGAAAUGCGUAGAGAUCAGGAGGAACACCGAUGGCGAAGGCAGCCCCCUGGGCCUGUACUGACGCUCAUGCACGAAAGCGUGGGGAGCAAACAGGAUUAGAUACCCUGGUAGUCCACGCCCUAAACGAUGGGUACUAGCCGUUUGGUGCGCGAUAGCGCUGAGUGGCGAAGCUAACGCGUGAAGUACCCCGCCUGGGGAGUACGGCCGCAAGGUUGAAACUUAAAGGAAUUGGCGAG
rnacentral:rRNA from 1 species